GUGCACAAACGCCUUGCAUUUUUAAAUAGCAAUACGCAUUCUGCUACAAUCUUGCUCGUGCACUUUAUUUUGCAACUCGUUGCUAUUAUUGUAUUGGAAGUAUUCUUGCUGUUAGUUUAUAUAUUUCCUUAGUGCUUUAUUACAAAAAUCUAUCGCCUUCUCUUAAAAUGUCUGACAUUAAACGCCUUAUUAUGAAACGUGCUUCAAUUAAAGCAAAGCUUACGCAAUUCUCUUCAUACUUAAACAUUGCUAAGUCAUGUGAACAGUUGUUGAGGUUGAGUAUAGACUUAAUACUAUCGAAAAUCUAUAUGAUAAAUACGACGUGUUACAGGCCGACAUGGAAGAGAUGGCGGACGACCCUAGCGAGCAAUAUGCGGAGCGUGAGGAGUUCGAAAAGCAGUACUACAGCUUGGUGGCUGCAGCACGUCAGCUGAUCAGCAAUGCUCGCAAGCAAGCUUCAGGGAACUCCAUAGCCGAGCGUUGGUGAAUGUGUCGGAUGCUGAAGGCAACAUUCAUACUGCACGAAUUCUGCUGGAUAACGGGAGUACGACUAACCUUAUGUCACAGGAGUUAGCUCGUAAACUUAACAUUUCCACCUAUACAGUCGAGUCUAAGGUAACAGGCAUUAAUGAUCAAUCCUCUUAUUGUACACAAGGUUGUUCGAUUUCUUUAAAGUCAGUCAAUAGUGAAUAUGACAUCGAUAUUGAUUGCUACGUCGUGUCCAAAAUUUCAUCGUGUGUACCAAAUACAUAUAUUGAUGUGCACAAUAUAAAUAUACCUACCAAUAUAGUUCUGGCUGACCCUCAGUUUUACGUUCCCUCUUCUAUAGAUAUUCUUGUGGGUGCUGAAGUCUUCUGGAACGUUUUAGGUACUAACCGUAUAGAGUUAGGUAAAUCCAUGCCUACUUUAUUUGAAUCAAAAUUGGGUUGGCUGUUAUCAGGAGUCGUCAAGCAAUCAAAUUCUUCUUCUCAUUUAUGUUUGCUGGCUGAUACUUUGCAGACAGACUUAAACCAUUUUCCUAAGCCAGACUGAAUUUCAGCAAAACAUACACUCACGCGCAAAGAGCGUUCUUGUGAGGAAUUAUUUUUGAAGUCCACUUACAGUGACGCGGAUGGACGCUUCGUAAUUAGCAUACCACGUAAGGAAUCUCCUGACGUAUUGGGUGAUUCCUACAACAUGGCUAAGCGCCGCUUAGCAUUACCCUACAUAUUAAGGCUGAACUGGAGGUGCUCAUCAGAUAUCUUUUCUUACUCCAUGUCAAAUGCAACUUCCAGUAACAUGGCCACAAAACGUAAGAUUUUGUCUGUCAUUGCUCAGAUCUUUGAUUCUAUUGGCUUGGUCGUUCCUUGCAUAGUGGAAGCCAAGAUAAUCAUGCCACGGUUGCUGGCUGGUAAAUUGUUCCUGGGAUGAGCCUGUUCCCGAACAUAUUCAGCAUCCAUGGGACAGCUUUCAAAAUAGCUUACCUUUUUUAAAUGAUUUCAGGAUGCGUCGGUGGAUCACGUGUGAAUCGUCGUCUUCUGUGCAGUUGCAUGUGUUCACCGGCGCAUCUGAAGGGGCGUAUGGUGCUUGUUAUCAUGUCCGCAGCGUAUCGCUUAGUGGUGAGAUUCAUCUACACCUUCUUACUGCUACAAGCUUAGCGCCGGUCAAGUCAACGACCAUCCCCCGACUCGAACUUUGUGCUGCGUUGUUAAGUUCGAGAUUAUACGUGAAGGUACCUCAGUCACUCACACUACAUAUUGACGACGUCUAUUUCUGGUGUGAUUCCACCAUGGUCUUGGGUUGGUUAUCUGCCUCACCCACGCAACUUAAAAGCUUCGUUCGCCAUCGUGUCUCUGAAAUUCGGGAAACUGCGGAGGGUAGAACUUGGCGUUACGUUCCGUCACAAAAAAACCCCGCAGACUUCGCUUCGCGUGGACUCAGAGCAGAUAAGCUGCUGUCUUCUUCGCUAUGGUUGUCGGGACCACAAUUUCUUCUUCUUUUCACAUCAAUAUCUCCAAUCAUAACAACAACAUCAUUUCUAAAUUAUUUACAUGUUCAGAUUUUAGUAAAAUACAGCGCUUUACAGCACACUUAUUUAAAUUUAUUAACAUUAAAAUUAAAAAACAAACAGUUUGUUCUGGUCCACUUACAUCUAAAGAGUUGAAUAGUGCAUUAUCUUAAGAAUUUGCCAACAGGAGUCGUUUCCUUCGUGUUGGAGGCAGAUUAAGCAAUUCCUUUUAUGAUUUUAAUAUUAAACACCCUAUUCUCAUAGCAACUAAACAUAUUAUUUGUAAAUUCUUAUUUGACAUGCAUCACCUACAACUUUUACAUUUUUUACCUCAAUUGCUUCUUACAAAACUUCGUCACCAUUCACCCAUCAUGAUAGCUGACCGUAGGGACACAUGAAGUGCUUUACAUGUGUGUUUGUGUGUUUAGCCACGAGGGCCGUCCAUCUUGAACAUAUAUCCGGCUUUUCUGGCUGCCAUGAACCGCUUUAUUGUUCGUCGAGGGAAGCUAAGCAACAUUUUCUCAUGUCUAGCAUUGUCCGCGGUUAAGACAACCAAACACCAUCUCAGACGCAUCCUUGGCUUAACGAAUUUAACUUUUGAAGAGAUGGUAACAUGUUUAAUUCAAGUAGAAGCUAUCUUAAAUUCCAGGCCCUUAACUCCACUUUCCGUUGACCUUUCCGGCCUUAUUCCCUUGACGCCUGCCCACUUCCUUAUUGGACGAUCGCUCAUCUUGUUGCCUCACCCACAGGUCCAGAACGCUAACGUGAACAACUUGCAGCGGUUCCGUCGCAUCGAAUGUUUAAAGCAACAUUUCUGGUCACGCUUCUCACAUUUUGUCUCUCCAACAACGAAACAAAUGGCUCCGAUCGUCAGGGGAACUUACAGAAGGAACCCUUGUCGUCAUUAAGGAUAAAAGCUCACCUCCUCUGUUAUGGCUUUUAGGACGGAUCGUUAAGGUGCUUCCUGGUAGAGACGGUAUUGCACGAGUCGCCGACAUCCGCACACGUAAGGGU
rnacentral:misc_RNA from 1 species